GGGCUUGCUCCGGCAGCACAUAUACUAAAAUUGGAAGGAUACAGAGAAGAUUAGCACAGCCCCUGUGCAAGGAUGACACACAAAUUCGUGAAGCUUCCAUAUUUUUA
rnacentral:snRNA from 1 species